rnacentral:rRNA from 1 species
GACGAACGCUGGCGGCGUGCCUAAUACAUGCAAGUCGAGCGAACAGAAGGGAGCUUGCUCCCGGAUGUUAGCGGCGGACGGGUGAGUAACACGUGGGUAACCUGCCUGUAAGACUGGGAUAACUCCGGGAAACCGGAGCUAAUACCGGAUAGUUCCUUGAACCGCAUGGUUCAAGGAUGAAAGACGGUUUCGGCUGUCACUUACAGAUGGACCCGCGGCGCAUUAGCUAGUUGGUGGGGUAAUGGCUCACCAAGGCGACGAUGCGUAGCCGACCUGAGAGGGUGAUCGGCCACACUGGGACUGAGACACGGCCCAGACUCCUACGGGAGGCAGCAGUAGGGAAUCUUCCGCAAUGGACGAAAGUCUGACGGAGCAACGCCGCGUGAGUGAUGAAGGUUUUCGGAUCGUAAAGCUCUGUUGUUAGGGAAGAACAAGUGCGAGAGUAACUGCUCGCACCUUGACGGUACCUAACCAGAAAGCCACGGCUAACUACGUGCCAGCAGCCGCGGUAAUACGUAGGUGGCAAGCGUUGUCCGGAAUUAUUGGGCGUAAAGGGCUCGCAGGCGGUUUCUUAAGUCUGAUGUGAAAGCCCCCGGCUCAACCGGGGAGGGUCAUUGGAAACUGGGAAACUUGAGUGCAGAAGAGGAGAG